UACGUAGGCAGCGAGCGUUGUUCGGAAUUACUGGGCGUAAAGCGAGCGUAGUCGGUUAUUUAAGUCGGGUGUGAAAGCCCCGGGCUCAACCUGGGAAUUGCAUUCGAUACUGGAUAGCUAGAGUUCGGCAGAGGGAAGCGGAAUUUCCGGUGUAGCGGUGAAAUGCGUAGAUAUCGGAAGGAACAUCAGUGGCGAAAGCGGCUUCCUGGACCAGAACUGACGAUCAGGCUCGAAAGCGUGGGGAGCAAACAGG
rnacentral:rRNA from 1 species